rnacentral:lncRNA from 1 species
GAUUUUGGACUCCAUCACCUCCAACCAGCUUCCACUUGCAGGCUCAGACCACUGGUGAGAAUACUGUCUUAUCACCGUUCAGAAUUGCAAGUAAAAACUCUUAGGAGUGAUGAGGCCGCACUCUGAUGAUGUGCUUGUGCAGCAGAAAACUGUGAAAAUGCAAAAAACUUAGCGUGUGACAUUUUUAACCUCAUCGACAGGUCUAACUUUAUUUCAGAGCAUUAAUAUAAAUUAAUCAUAUACAUAUGAUACAUUUAUAGAUUAUAUUACAUUACAUUAUAUAUUAUCAUAUAUCAUGUACAUAUGAUCAUGUAUCAUUUAUAUGAUCACGUAUUUCUUCUAUAUAUUUGCAGAGCUUUCUUGAAGCUUUGGUUAAACAAAGGAGAGAUAAAGAGAAUAUUCCUACCUGCAGUGACACCUUCAGUGACUUUUUCAACAGAACUAAGUCUUGAGAUGAUGACUGGUUACCUUUUGUUGCUCAGGUCAAACACCCAGAGCCCUGCAGGUAGACUAAACCCCUGACCGCAGAUGUACCCCCACCCCCCACCCGUCUCCUCCUCUCCGUGCAGAGACCUUCUGCAGCCUCAUUCUCUGAUCACUGGCCUGAUUAAUAGGAGACCGAAUUGGAAAUUUAAUUGGAUGUUGUUACAAUUAUAAAGGCCUGGUCUCCCUAGAGCUGUGACUCUGACUGUCUGUAGGCACCGAGGGGGAAACAAGAUAUCAGCAGGAAGAACAUGUUCUGUCACAUAUUGCGCCCCAAGAUUCCCCCAAUACAGGGGGAGGGUGAGGUGUGUAAGAUCACCGUCCAAAGGGGAGCUGUUUAAACAGAAGAAACUGCUGCUGAACACAGAUAAUAGUUUAGUAAAUAAUAAUAAUAAUAAUAAUAAUAAUAAUAAUAAUAAUAAUAAUAAUAAUAAUAAUAAUAAUAAUUAUUAUUAUUAUUAUUAUUAUUAUUAUUAUUAUUAUUAUUAUUAUUAUAUUAUGUAAAAAUUAUAAUGACAUAAUAGUUAUUAUUAUUAUUAUUAUUAUUAUUAUUUUAACUUUCAUUACUAUUAUUUUCCUAAUCAUCAUUGGAUUAUUAAUAUAAAUGAUAAAAUAAUAAUAAUGCUGAGAUGUUGUUAAUUUUAUAUAUUGCAGAAACUAUGCUGCUGCGCUCUUGGCAAAGUCUCCCUUGUAAAAGAGAUUCGUAAUCUCAGUGGGACUACCCUGGUUGAAUAAAGGCUAAAAUUAAUAAAUAAAAAUGAGAAUAAUGAUAAAAAUGAUUUAAAUAAAUAAAUAAAUGAAUGAAUAAAUAAAUAAAUAAAUGAUAAUAAUAAUAAAAAUAAUAAUAAAUUAAUUCUUAAAUUUAUCAAUUUAGACCUUAUAAUGAGAAUACUGUUAUCAUUUCAAAGCUGUUUAUUGUAUUCUAUUCAAUCCAUUUUUUAAAAUGUUUUUUUAUCUCUUCUGCUUAUCUUAGUUCUUGUUACCUUUGCACAUUUGUGAUCUUUAACCACCUGAGCUGCUGUUGAGUCAAAGGUCAUAGUCAAAGUCUCCAGAGACUGAAGAAGUGCAGUUUUUGCAGAAACAUUCUUUUUUGUAUUUCCAUGCAAUGCAAAAAACUUAAUUUUAUACAUGUUUUGGUCUUAUUUUUUGUCUUAAUUUUCUUAGUCUAAUGAGGCUGUAUUUUAACCAAUUCAGCUGACAAAUUAAGGUAAAUCCAGACUUUGUGUUUGUAAUGACCACAAAAAAAUAUCCAAAAAUGAAAUAAGAAAAAAAAAAGACUUCAGAAGAUUCUUAUGUUGAGCACUAAGCAUCAGCAGUUUCAUUUUUAUUCAGUCCUUAUUGCUGGCUGAUAGUUGAGACAUGUUUCUGGAUUUUUCAUGUGAAUUGAGUUUUGAUUUGACCUUAUUUUUUAAAGAAUAGAUCAAAACACUGGCUUAGACGAGUUAUUGUUACAUCGUACAUCUGUUUGUGAUCCCAUGAACUCUUUUACAUAGUCCAGUUGAAUUUUGAUAAACUAUGAGUUACUUUUAGUUGCCCCAGUGUUUAAGAACCUUUAUUAAACAUGUAUUAAGUGUUAAAUUGAUCCUGCUCUCAGCUGAUUUCAUGCUUAUGUCUGUCCUCUGCACACAUGCAUGCUCUCCUCCUCCUCCUCUCUGUCUCUGAUAAUAUUUGAUCCACCCUCUCCUGUUUUCCACCUGAUAAACCUCUUUUCUGCAGCUGCAGCCCCUGCAGGCCUCAGGAGGCAAACAGAACCCUCUUUUGGUGGAAGUGGGUACUGCAGCUCAGUCAGAUGUCAUCGGAGAAAUGAAAAGGUCUCUGUCGCAACCCAGAGAUCCCUCACUCCUCCCAGCUCUGUCUGCGUGCUUAGGGUCCAGUUUAGGUUAUAAUCCCUGACAUAUGUAAGAUCUGUGUCAUGCUUUUAUUUCCUCCAUAAGCUAAAAAUCUUCCAGAGGAUGAGUGUGAAGCGUCCCUCUGUUCUAAGCUGCUUUCAGUCUGCAGCAGCAGCUGACAAAUGAAAAUGGAACACUUAUUAGAUUGAGGCCAAGAAGCAGGAUUGUGUUUUAUUGUCUGUGUUUGGACAGACCUCUCAAAGUACUCAGACAAUAUCAGGACUCUGGGGGUGAAAGCUGCCCCCACUCUUUUAGGUUUUUCAGGAAGACAGUAGAUCCAAGUCUUUCUAGCAGGCUGAUUCUAUGUUUCAAAGUCGGUCCUCCUGUGUUAUUUUCUGGCGGUCAGAGGAUGGAGUCAGUGAGUCUGCCAAGUAACUGAUUUGGUGACCUUUGUUCUCUCUGCCUCAGUUUUAUUUAUUUACUUAUUUAUUUUAUUUUAUUUAUUUAUUUUAUUCUUUGAGUGUAACAACAUCUCUGUGUCCUGCUGUUGAGACCCAUGUGAGAGCUGCAUGGUGCAAAUGUUAAGAUGCAGUAAAUAGAUCUAAAGAUGUUCCUAACAGAAAACUGAAGAGUCAAAGUGAAAGCCCAGGGGCCUUAUGUAUCAAUACUUGCGUGGAACUCAUACCAGAAACGAGCGCACGCAAGGUCCGUCACGCUGAAAAAAAUCCGUAUGUAUCAAUGUGUGCGGGCGCCGAAAUCCACGUGUGUUUCCUUGAUAAAUCCCAAUCAGCGUGGAAUUGAGCGCAGAUGUCGGAGUGACUGGGCCCAUCCCCGUUACGCCCUCCUAUAAAUAUGCAGAUUUAUUUAAAUAGGGUCUCCCUGUCCUCGCACGCAGACAAAAUGAUAAGAAAAACUAAAUUUACGGCAUGCGAGGUGGAGGUGCUGGUGGCAGAGGUGGAGGAGCGACAGUGUGUUUUGUUUGGCAGCCUGUCCAGUGGCGUCAGUGCAAAACAAAAACGCUUGGAGUGGGAGAAAGUUUGCGAGAGGGUGAAUGCGGUGGGUUCCGAGACACGCACCCCCGUGGAGAUUAAAAAAAAGUGGUCGGACCUCAAGGUGGAGGUCAAGCGGCGUACAGCUGCCCUCCGGAGGAGUACUGGCCAGACAGGUGGGGUUCUGGGGGAGGAGACCCUCACACCGUUUGAGCAGUGGGUGGUGGCGAUUAUUAUUAUAGGGUAAGUGGCGUGUCACACAAAUGUCCACAUGCUUUGUCAUCCCACUGAGCAAAAGACAUAUAUUAGACGUCUAGUCUAAGUUUAUACUUCAUUUCUACGGCAGGAUUCAGUCUAUUUUUAGACGUGAUUUAUACUACGCCCUUAACUUCAUUUUUCGAUAACUUUUUAUGCAAUAAACAACUGUAAUGUGCAUAACUGACCUCUAAAUACUGGAUUACAUUACCUAUGAUACCGUGGAGAGAGAUGUAAAUGCAACAGAUACACAGAAGCAGGAAUUGAAAUGAACAAAUAUUUUUAUUGUGUCACAGAAAUCAAUGUGUCGGCCGUGUCGCCGGCUUGUGGAACCGCGGCCCGCGGCAGCCCGUCCGCCGGCUCGGAGUCGUCGGCCAGGACCAGCGGCAUUCGGGCCACCCCGGCCCCCGGCCCCAGCACCAGCACCAGCAUCAGUACCAGCGCGCCGACAAGCGGUGGAGCGUCCACCAGCCGCGGCGCUUGCGCUGGACCACCCGGACGCAGUGGAAGGGUCCUCGCGGAGGGGGUCCUGCAAUCGCAGGAAGAAAUCAUCAGGGGGCUCAUGGGGAUCAACGAGCGGCUGGACCGGCUUGUAAAUGUCCUCGAGCGUCUGGUGGAGAAAAUAAAUUAAAUUGGCUCAUUGAACUGUGUAUUCACUUCUUACCCAUUCACACUGUGGCGAUGAGAUUCUCCCGCGCGAGGACGGCGGCCCGGCAGGGAUCAGCUCGCAUCCCUCCGUCUGCUGCUGGUUCGUCAUGUGGGGCGACGUGCUGCUCGGCCACGGGGAUGUGGUGCACGCUUGUCACAUUGUGAGUCACCAAACACCGCCACACAGCGUCGCCUAAGUGCGAAUCACAGUCAACACAAGUAUCAGCUCAACGCCAAUUUCUACACCACCUCCUUACUUUGCGUUGAUUAGCGCUGGAACCGACGCUCGUUUCGCGAUGAUAAAUCUGGACGUGUGCGCUGAUUUUGGCGUACGCAAGGUUUUCUUGCGCCGCAAGCGUUGAUACAUAAGGCCCCUGGUCUGGUCUCACAUUCACACACAGAAUAUCUCCAGCUUUUAAGUCUCAGAAGGGGUCGAAGAUCCUCGAGUCAAGACUCAAAAUGAACAGACUAGACUCGAGAGAGAGGGAGUGAGAUAGGGGGGGGGGGGAGGGGGGGGGGCAGCAGGGCUCAAAUAUAUGUAAGUGUUGGAAAGUCAUGUCCCAUUUAGGGGCUAUCGUUAGAUAGGGGAAAGUCAGAGGGAAAGGAGGGGGUAACUCUCUGAUAAUGAAUUAGCACAUCCUGCUUAUGCUAGCUUCUUUGUAAGGAUUUGUAUUCAGACAUAUGUCCUUCAGAGGUUUCUGACCACAGUUUAAAAAGAGACUGGAGACAGAUUAGCCUGAGAUCCCGAGACAGUCUGAGAUUCUGAGAUAGUCUGAGAUCCUAAAACAGUCUGAGAUUCUGAGACUGUCUGAGACUUUGAAGUAGUUUGUCAUUGUUUUGAAGUGACAUCUUUGCCGUUUGAAAAAGACCUGUUGGCUGCAGGCUGGAGGUCACAUUUGAACUGACGCCUUUAAAUAAUGUAAAAAAAAAAGGUUAGAAAGGUCUGGGUAAGUGUUUCAACGUCAGACCUCUGCAGAGUUUAUGCAGCCUCACAUCGAAGACUUAGGGCUCUAUUUCCGUGUACCCCGGUGAGGCGGCGGAGGGUGGCGGACCCCGCACAGUUGUAUUUUCGUCUGGCAGAGCCCGGCGUACAGCCAGUUUGGUAUUUUCGUGGACUGAGGCGCACGGAGAUCCGCCAAGCUGGGUGUGGUGGCGUGGCAGAGGGAGGUUUUGACAGAAUCAGCUGGCGCAGUGACAUUUUUGGCUCGCCACCGUUGUAUAAAGUGCGCUGAAAGCUCGCCGAUUCAAACCUGGUCAGCUUUCAGCGCAGGUGGAGCGCAGCUGGUCUAGUGGUAUUUUGGUAGACCGGCGGUGUAUCGGCAUACGUCACCAAUGCCUCACCGGCAGGUUUUCACAGUGUGAGGCACAUUUCAGUGCAAUAAAUAAUUAUCAACAACUAAUAAUCUGACUCAGCACAUACAUUUAGAUCUAUAUAGAUAUAUUCUGAUCUAUAUCUGAUCUGAUGAGCGCGUUUGGCAUGCGUUUGGACACACAACCUGACCAAAUCAACACAGCUGAAACCGCAUUAAAUUAAAUUAAAUAUCUAGUAAAUAGACACACAUGAUGAAGUUAACAAGAUAUGUAAUUUGUCUCCCUCCUUUUCUUUCUUCCUCUUCCUCUUAUUUCUCACACAGCCGGACCUGGACAUGUCUCUGUGUCCUCUCCCCGUCCUGCUGCAGCUGCUGCUGCUGCGGCGGCUGAACAGGUGAUUUGUUUCCGUGAUCAGAUAAGUUAUCUACUUUAAGCCUACAUACGAAUAUUAUAAUAUUCAGUUUUGUGGGCCAAAUUUAUUUUAUGCCAACAUCUAGAAAAGAAAGAGCCAGGCCACGGAGCGCGAUGCGUCAUUACGAACAGAUGGUCCCGAUUUUAAUGCAAUUUUUUAAAUUUAUGUUGUGAACUGUGCGCACAACCCACCUUUGUCACGUGAGGUUUGAAUAUAUGCAACUUAAUGUGAGUGUCUUUAUUUGUGGAAAGGGAUGUUUGUCUUAUUAGUGGGUCCAACUUUACACACACCAAAUCCAUCUGUGCUCAUAUGAGAGAGUGUGGAGGACGCCUUCUGCAGCGACACUUGUUGAGGAGCUGCCUUCUGUUGCCAUCAUGUGGCAUUGCUGUCUUCAGACAUCUCUUAAUCUCUUUGACUACUUCACGAAAAUAGUAAUACGCCUCGCCAGUGGCGGAUUUAAAGGCGAGGAGAGGAGCUUAUGUUAUUGGUCAAUACAGGUCUCGGCUGUGUUAAACCCACUCCACACCCUCUCUCCUCCCUCUCUACGACUUAAGCCGCUGGGAGGAGCUGAUUUAGGGAGGGGGGAUACUUACGCCAGACUGUGCCGCUCACCAAAAUACCAAAUUGUGCUUGGGAAAGCCUUGAUGGCGCGGCGGACCUGACUUACGCCGCGCCUGCGGCACGUCUCCGGCGAGGCACAAAAAUAGAGCCCUUAGACUUCUACAGAGUUCAUGCAGCCUCCCAGCCUUGAGGACCUCUGCGGCAUUUACACAGCCUCACUUUGAGGAUCAGUGUGCAGCUGACGGCUGUGGGUGUGUUGUUCUUUGAGAUAAUGUCACCUUACUAUUGAAGGCACAUAUUGCUCAGUGUGAGAGUGACUGCUUUCAGCCCACACAAACAAAGCAGAUGUUGUGAGUGUCAGGGGUUGGCCUGCAAGCUGCAGCGACUGUAAUCGACUAUUUAAACAGCUGAGAGACACUGAUGUCAGCUAAAACACAGAUUUACACUCUGACAUCCCUCUGCUGCCACCACACACGCCUUACUUUGUGUUCAGCUCACAGGGAUGUGCUCUGAUAUUACCAUAAUGAUUGAAUGUAUGUGCCCAUCACUGUGUUAGCACCCAUCUAUCACCAGGUCACUACAGGUCAACUCUCCAGUUUAAGUUAAAUUUAGAUCACAAAAACCAGCCAGGACAGCAUAUCAUUGAAAAUGUCUAUGAAAACUGUCAAAUAGUGGAGGCAAAAAUAAGUGGGUUAGUGGAUCUGAACUGAUGAACUGAUUUUAACUGUAAAGGCAUGCUAGUGCUGGUUUGCAGCACCUGGACCAACAAGAAAUCACCACAGCUCCACAGUUAUGAUCAGGAUCUGUUCUGUUUUCCUGCAAACUGACCUCUCAGAAGAUGUAACGGCAGCUUAGGUAGCUGAAAAUCAGAAAUAAGAUGUGCAAAAGUCCAAAAAACUCUUUUGUUUUAAUCAAAUGUUUCCCUUGCAGUGACAGGUCCAACACUGUCUUUUAUUUUGUCCACAAAAGAAAAGGAUUUAAGGACUUUAAAGGUCCAUCAGAGCCACGGAACUCCUUUCACAUCAAUGUGGAUGGAUAACUUACUCAAAGCCGGUUUCAUUUCCAUGAGCAUCCCACCGCAGCCUUUGUUGCUGCUGUAACAAAGAUGGCAGUAGCUUCCAUCAAGCUGAAUGACAGAACUGCAUGGCAUUGGAGUGAGGCGUACAGGCAGGGUGGGAUGAAGAGCCUUGGGGGGUUACAGUCAGUUUGUCAGAGAAACUCUACAGCCACCAGAGCGCCAGCCUGCUUCACUUUGAAUUCCUGGUCUCGCCGCAUGAAAUCCCCCUUCCUAAAACAGCCCCCUUUGUCACCUGCUCCACUUUGACCCGUCCUGCCUGCCUGGAGAGAGACGAUAGUUACUCUGGCUGUAAGUUAAAUAUUUAAUUCCCUUCUUAUUCUUUCAAAUAGGACAAAGAAGGAGGAGGAGACCAAGUGAUGUGAUUGUGGUGGAUUUGAAGGAUGGGAUUACAGCAGAAGAAGAGGAAAGGACAAGAGACUGUAAGUAGGCCAAUCUGUGUCAGGUACACUUAAGGCGUUGAGCUUAACAGAUAUGUCAGCACGGCUAAAUGUGGGGCUGUCACCUCCCAAAACCAAAGGGUUAAAGACAAGGUCUAAAAACCUGAUACUGGUAUCACAUAAAAAAAGAGAGAGAACAGCAGGGGAAAGAGAG